GUCCUUGUAGCGCAAUGGAUAGCGCGUAGGACUACUAAUCCAAAGGUCGUGGGUUCUAAUCUCACCUAGGAUG